GACGAACGCUGGCGGCGUGCCUAAUACAUGCAAGUAGAACGCUGAAGAGAGGAGCUUGCUCUUCUUGGAUGAGUUGUGAACGGGUGAGUAACGCGUAGGUAACCUGCCUGGUAGCGGGGGAUAACUAUUGGAAACGAUAGCUAAUACCGCAUAAGAGUAGAUGUUGCAUGACAUUUGCUUAAAAGGUGCAAUUGCAUCACUACCAGAUGGACCUGCGUUGUAUUAGCUAGUUGGUGAGGUAACGGCUCACCAAGGCGACGAUACAUAGCCGACCUGAGAGGGUGAUCGGCCACACUGGGACUGAGACACGGCCCAGACUCCUACGGGAGGCAGCAGUAGGGAAUCUUCGGCAAUGGACGGAAGUCUGACCGAGCAACGCCGCGUGAGUGAAGAAGGUUUUCGGAUCGUAAAGCUCUGUUGUAAGAGAAGAACGAGCGUGAGAGUGGAAAGUUCACACUGUGACGGUAUCUUACCAGAAAGGGACGGCUAACUACGUGCCAGCAGCCGCGGUAAUACGUAGGUCCCGAGCGUUGUCCGGAUUUAUUGGGCGUAAAGCGAGCGCAGGCGGUUAGAUAAGUCUGAAGUUAAAGGCUGUGGCUUAACCAUAGUACGCUUUGGAAACUGUUUAACUUGAGUGCAAGAGGGGAGAGUGGAAUUCCAUGUGUAGCGGUGAAAUGCGUAGAUAUAUGGAGGAACACCGGUGGCGAAAGCGGCUCUCUGGCUUGUAACUGACGCUGAGGCUCGAAAGCGUGGGGAGCAAACAGG
rnacentral:rRNA from 1 species